GGAUGUGAGGGUGAUCUAGCUGCGACAUCUGUCACCCCACUGAUCGCCAGGGUUGAUUCGGCUGAUCUGGCUGGCGAGGCAGGUGUCCCCUUCCUCCCUCACUGCUCCAUGUGCGUCCCUCCCAAAGCUGCGCACUCAGUCCAAGAGGACGGCCUUCCCCGAAUAGAGACAGACCGUUCUUCGGUCAAGGGCAUAUGAGUAGCUGUGCUCCCCUGCUAGAACCUCCCAACAAGCUCUCAAGGGUACCAAUGAGCAUUUGUAUUUAUUUAUUAUACUAAUUCCACAACCAACAGAAAGAAAAGCUGACCACUU
rnacentral:snRNA from 1 species